CCUACGGGAGGCAGCAGUGAGGAAUAUUGGUCAAUGGGCGGGAGCCUGAACCAGCCAAGUCGCGUGAGGGAAGACGGUCCUAUGGAUUGUAAACCUCUUUAGGCGGGGAGCAAUGCCGGGCACGCGUGCCCGGCGGGAGAGUACCCGCAGAAUAAGCAUCGGCUAACUCCGGGCCAGCAGCCGCGGUAAUACGGAGGAUGCGAGCGUUAUCCGGAUUUACUGGGUGUAAAGGGAGCGCAGGCGGGAAGCCAAGUCAGCUGUGAAAACUACGGGCUUAACUUGUAGACUGCAGUUGAAACUGGUUUUCUUGAGUGAAGGAGAGGUUGGCGGAAUGCCGAGUGUAGCGGUGAAAUGCUUAGAUAUCACGAAGAACUCCGAUUGCGAAGGCAGCUUACUAGACGGCCACUGACGUUGAGGCUCGAAAGUGUGGGUAUCAAACAGGAUUAGAUACCCGGGUAGUC
rnacentral:rRNA from 1 species